rnacentral:rRNA from 1 species
CACGUAGGCGGUUCGUCGCGUCCGGUGUGAAAGUCCAUCGCUUAACGGUGGAUCCGCGCCGGGUACGGGCGGGCUUGAGUGCGGUAGGGGAGACUGGAAUUCCCGGUGUAACGGUGGAAUGUGUAGAUAUCGGGAAGAACACCAAUGGCGAAGGCAGGUCUCUGGGCCGUUACUGACGCUGAGGAGCGAAAGCGUGGGGAGCGAACA